GUGAGGAAUAUUGGUCAAUGGGCGAGAGCCUGAACCAGCCAAGUCGCGUGAAGGAAGAAGGAUCUAUGGUUCGUAAACUUCUUUUGCAGGGGAAUAAAGUGCGGGACGUGUCCUGUUUUGUAUGUACCCUGAGAAUAAGGAUCGGCUAACUCCGUGCCAGCAGCCGCGGUAAUACGGAGGAUCCGAGCGUUAUCCGGAUUUAUUGGGUUUAAAGGGUGCGGAGGUGGUUUGAUAAGUCAGCGGUGAAAGUUUGCAGCUUAACUGUAAAAAUGCCGUUGAAACUGUCGGACUUGAGUGUAAAUGAGGUAGGCGGAAUGCGUGGUGUAGCGGUGAAAUGCAUAGAUAUCACGCAGAACUCCGAUUGCGAAGGCAGCUUACUAAGCUACAACUGACACUGAAGCACGAAAGCGUGGGGAUCAAACAGGAUUAGAUACCCGAGUAGUCC
rnacentral:rRNA from 1 species